rnacentral:lncRNA from 1 species
UUUGAGGUGGUUUAGCGUCCCACUUGUUCCUUGAGGACAUCUGUUACUACCUAAGAGCACUCACCUGAAGGAGAUGCUCAAAGGUCCAGAAGGGACACGUCUCGGGUGACAAAGCAGGUGGCGAUCAGAGAACAGAGACCCCUAAAGAAUUUUAUGGCAUUCAAGGCAAAGCACAGCCAGCCCGGAGGGAAAGCAAGAGUACAGCCUGGAAAUACAUAGCCCUGCCUGAAACGUAUCUCUAAAGAAAAACAAUGGUAAGACCAACCAGGAGCCGAUCUGGUUCUUGCAGAGUAGGGCAGAAUUAUCGGUUCUCCCCAUAUAAAGAUUGUAUUGGUGCA